rnacentral:rRNA from 1 species
UACGGAGGGUGCGAACGUUAAUCGGAAUCACUGGGCGUAAAGCGCGCGUAGGCGGUUCGUUAAGUGGGAUGUGAAAUCCCCGGGCUUAACCUGGGAAUUGCAUUUCAAACUGGCCGACUAGAGUACGGUAGAGGGAGGUAGAAUUUCCUGUGUAACGGUGAAAUGCGUAGAUAUAGGAAGGAAUACCGGUGGCGAAGGCGGCAUCCUGGACCGACAUUGACGCUGAACGGCGAAAGCUAGGGGAGCAAACGGG